rnacentral:rRNA from 1 species
GGUUAAGCGACUAAGCGUACACGGUGGAUGCCCUGGCAGUCAGAGGCGAUGAAGGACGUGCUAAUCUGCGAAAAGCGUCGGUAAGGUGAUAUGAACCGUUAUAACCGGCGAUGUCCGAAUGGGGAAACCCAGUGCAAUUCGUUGCACUAUCGUUAACUGAAUACAUAGGUUAACGAGGCGAACCGGGGAACUGAAACAUCUAAGUACCCCGAGGAAAAGAAAUCAACCGAGAUUCCCCAGUAGCGGCGAGCGAACGGGGAGCAGCCCAGAGUCUGAAUCAGCUUGUGUGUUAGUGGAACGGUCUGGAAAGUCCGACGGUACAGGGUGAUAGUCCCGUACACCAAAAUGCACAGGUUGUGAACUCGAAGAGUAGGGCGGGACACGUGGUAUCCUGUCUGAAUAUGGGGGACCAUCCUCCAAGGCUAAAUACUCCUGACUGACCGAUAGUGAACCAGUACCGUGAGGGAAAGGCGAAAAGAACCCCGGCGAGGGGAGUGAAAAAGAACCUGAAACCGUGUACGUACAAGCAGUGGGAGCACCUUCGGGUGUGACUGCGUACCUUUGUAUAAUGGGUCAGCGACUUAUAUUCUGUAGCAAGGUUAACCGUAUAGGGAGCCGCAGGAAACCGAGUCUUAACUGGGCGUUAAGUUGCAGGGUAUAGACCCGAAACCCGGUGAUCUAGCCAUGGGCAGGUUGAAGGUUGGGUAACACUAACUGGAGGACCGAACCGACUAAUGUUGAAAAAUUAGCGGAUGACUUGUGGCUGGGGUGAAAGGCCAAUCAAACCGGGAGAUAGCUGGUUCUCCCCGAAAGCUAUUUAGGUAGCGCCUCGUGAACUCAUCUUCGGGGGUAGAGCACUGUUUCGGCUAGGGGUCAUCCCGACUUACCAACCCGAUGCAAACUACGAAUACCGAAGAAUGUUAUCACGGGAGACACACGGCGGGUGCUAACGUCCGUCGUGAAGAGGGAAACAACCCAGACCGCCAGCUAAGGUCCCAAAGUCAUGGUUAAGUGGGGAAACGAUGUGGGGAAGGCACAGACAGCCGGGGAUGUUGGCUUAGAAGCAGCCAUCAUUUAAAGAAAGCGUAAUAGCUCACUGGUCGAGUCGGCCUGCGCGGAAGAUGUAACGGGGCUAAACCAUGCACCGAAGCUGCGGCAGCGACACUAUGUGUUGUUGGGUAGGGGAGCGUUCUGUAAGCCUGCGAAGGUGUGCUGUGAGGCAUGCUGGAGGUAUCAGAAGUGCGAAUGCUGACAUAAGUAACGAUAAAGCGGGUGAAAAGCCCGCUCGCCGGAAGACCAAGGGUUCCUGUCCAACGUUAAUCGGGGCAGGGUGAGUCGACCCUAAGGCGAGGCCGAAAGGCGUAGUCGAUGGGAAACAGGUUAAUAUUCCUGUACUUGGUGUUACUGCGAAGGGGGACGGAGAAGGCUAUGUUAGCCGGGCGACGGUUGUCCCGGUUUUUAAGCAUGUGAAGCUGAUUGUCCGAGGCAAAUCCGGAUAAUCAAGGCUGAGGUGUGAUGACGAGGCACUACGGUGCUGAAGUAACAAAUGCCCUGCUUCCGAGGAAAAGCCUCUAAGCAUCAGGUAACAUUAAAUCGUACCCCCAAACCGACACAGGUGGUCAGGUAGAGAAUACCAAGGCGCUUGAGAGAACUCGGGUGAAGGAACUAGGCAAAAUGGUGCCGUAACUUCGGGAGAAGGCACGCUGGUGUGUAGGUGAAGUCCCUGCGGAUGGAGCUGAGACCAGUCGAAGAUACCAGCUGGCUGCAACUGUUUAUUAAAAACACAGCACUGUGCAAACACGAAAGUGGACGUAUACGGUGUGACGCCUGCCCGGUGCCGGAAGGUUAAUUGAUGGGGUUAUCCGUAAGGAGAAGCUCUUGAUCGAAGCCCCGGUAAACGGCGGCCGUAACUAUAACGGUCCUAAGGUAGCGAAAUUCCUUGUCGGGUAAGUUCCGACCUGCACGAAUGGCGUAAUGAUGGCCGGGGCUGUCUCCACCCGAGACUCAGUGAAAUUGAACUCGCUGUGAAGAUGCAGUGUACCCGCGGCAAGACGGAAAGACCCCGUGAACCUUUACUAUAGCUUGACACUGAACAUUGAGCCUUGAUGUGUAGGAUAGGUGGGAGGCUUUGAAGCGUGGACGCCAGUCUGCGUGGAGCCAACCUUGAAAUACCACCCUUUAAUGUUUGAUGUUCUAACGUUGGCCCCUGACCGGGGUUGCGGACAGUGUCUGGUGGGUAGUUUGACUGGGGCGGUCUCCUCCCAAAGCGUAACGGAGGAGCACGAAGGUUAGCUAAUCCUGGUCGGACAUCAGGAGGUUAGUGCAAUGGCAUAAGCUAGCUUGACUGCGAGCGUGACGGCGCGAGCAGGUGCGAAAGCAGGUCAUAGUGAUCCGGUGGUUCUGAAUGGAAGGGCCAUCGCUCAACGGAUAAAAGGUACUCCGGGGAUAACAGGCUGAUACCGCCCAAGAGUUCAUAUCGACGGCGGUGUUUGGCACCUCGAUGUCGGCUCAUCACAUCCCUCGGGGCUGAAGUAGGUCCCAAGGGUAUGGCUGUUCGCCAUUUAAAGUGGUACGCGAGCUGGGUUUAGAACGUCGUGAGACAGUUCGGUCCCUAUCUGCCGUGGGCGCUGGAGAAUUGAGGGGGCUGCUCCUAGUACGAGAGGACCGGAGUGGACGCAUCACUGGUGUUCGGGUUGUCAUGCCAAUGGCACUGCCCGGUAGCUAAAUGCGGAAGAGAUAAGUGCUGAAAGCAUCUAAGCACGAAACUUGCCCCGAGAUGAGUUCUCCCUGAGACUUUAAGUCUCCUGAAGGAACGUUGAACGACGACGUUGAUAGGCCGGGUGUGUAAGCGCAGCGAUGCGUUGAGCUAACCGGUACUAAUGAACCGUGAGGCUUAACCUU